GUUUUUUACAGGGAGCACCUCCAUUGUUGGCAGGACUCCGAUCUGAACAAGAAAAGAACAUUUAGAGCGAUCAAAAUUUUAUCAGAAGGAAUUUGGCUUCUGAAUUUUGAAAGUGUCCCAAUUGUACCAGAGAAAAUAAAUCCCCAAAAGACACAGCAAUUGGUGAGAAACACUGUAGCAUCAUAUUCAGAGCUGAAACCCCACAAAGUGUGAGCGGCUGGAACCUAACUAUGGAUGCUGGGGACUGGGAGGUCGUAUUUGGGUUUCUUCUUGCGGGGAUGCGACUUGACGGCUCGUGGUGGCCGACACGGG